GUGUGUCCCGAGCCUCAUUUUGGGGAGAGAGAACCUGUUUCUUCUCAGCAAGCAAACAGCGUAUGAGCAGAGCAGGAAGGAGAAGGGCUUAUCUGGAGCUGAAAUGUUUUGAAGCAAAGUCAGAGGAGGGUGACCUUCCAAGUGGUGUUUGACUUUCUCCUUUUGCCCAGAACUAAUCGGCUUAGCUCGGAUGCCUGAGUGCCCGGUGACACAGGGACCCGCUGCUUUCAGGGUCUACUCUUUAUGAAAGAAAAACACCAUUUCUCACCAGAGCCUAAAGUUUAUGGGGCUUCUCUCGUGGACCGCUCGUGCUUGGUCAUUAAAGGGGCAAAGCCGACACGGUCUCUUUCCUCGAGUUUGUCAAAUGGCUUUAUUCGUAACGAUCAUCAGACGGAAACACUGACUGCAGGCUGAAUGUUGUCGCCUGCCAGGCAAAGAGCCACCCACCCAUCCCUCCCCCGUUGGCCGUCUGGGGUCAGGGAGCCAUCUGGGGGCCUCCUAUCGGUGGCCGGCACCUGGGCGGGGGGGCGUCAGGGGACAGUCAUCUCCAUGGGAUUACCUGUCUGCUUAAACCGGAGACAUCACGCGGGCAAAGCUGACUCCUGGGGACGGAGAGGUGACCCAGCUCCCAACAACAAAAGAACGAGGCUGCCUUUCCAAAUCCAUUACUGUCACCCGUGUGCCGUCCCUGCCUGCACACCCCUCCCCACAAUAAAACUAGGAAACGUAGGUGGGGGCCUCCUGAAGACGCUGCCGGCCGGGCCAGGCUUCUCUUGGUUCAGAAAACAGAGGGACUCUUUGUAUCCAGAAGAUCAAAAUACUCAGGGUGAUUUGGUCACAGAGCAGUCACAUGUCUGGAGAUGGGUGAUAUGUCUGUAGCCAGCAGGGGCCACCCCGUUCUCCCUGCCUCAUCACCAUCCCCCACCCCACCCCUUGGAGGUCCAGGUGACCCCCUGCAUCCUGUAGGGCAAGCCUCUGCCCAGACAAGCUGGGGUGGGGGUGGGUGGGGGGGGGGAUAUCACCAGGACUCAGGCCUCUGGAGAAGUGACUCAGCCCUAGUGAUGGGACAAUGGGGUGGGAAGGGACCUGGCACAAGCUCUAUUUCUCCAGGGGAAACAGGUGACCUGGAGGGACCUAGUGUGGAGAUCAGAGGACUCAGGCUCAAACCUCUGGUCCCAGGAGCCCCUAGGUCUGCUCUUGGGCAAACAGGGAAGGGACCCGCCAGCCGGGAGGGAAGGAGCAGGGAUGCAGACGUCCAGGUGGGGCUGUGGAGCACAGCAGAUGGGAGCACAGGGCCCUGCGGGCACUCGCUUGGCUUAGGGUCCCCGCCCUGGAUGGGAGUGCUGAGACGGGGAAGGGCCGGCUGGCGGGGAGGCCCAGGCAGAGGAGGCCAGCCAGCAGCCCGGUGCCAGCACACAGGGGCCCCUGCAGCUCGCACUGUUCUCAGGGACACCGGAAGGGGAAGCGACCCCACUCAAACAGGAGUGAUCCCACUCAAAAAGGAGCACCUUGCAGGAGAUCCUUUCAUAGAUUCUGCCAAAAAUAAAGCAGCACGUGGAGGAGACAGAGUUCUUUGGGUUUUGUUUUUAAUGACGGGACAGAAUAAGGUAAAAGUGGACAAAUACCUAAACCCAUUUUCAGGAAUGUAAGGACUUGGAAACUUAGCUGCAUAGAUCUCUGGAGUUUCCAAGAAUGUCGGAGCAAGAUGAAUGAGACCAGGAAGUGGGGAACGUAGGGUCAGGGGACCGUGGUGGGCAAAGAAGCCAGAAAGAGCUACAGUGACGCCCAGACCACUGCCGACGACAGACGUGCUCGGCUGUCCAGAGUCACAGAUCCAGGCGUGGCUGGUGGGGCGCAGGGGCAUUGGGCUGCCCUGUGGCCCGGACCCCUCCUGACGCCAGGAGAGGAUGGAGGCUCACUCAGUAUACGUCUCAGCAAUGCCGGGUGAUCAUGGUGCCGCAGAGGCAGGGCCAGUGACGUCCAAACCCAAGUCACAUGAAUACAAAACUCUACUGUUUCACUUCCAGUGACAGUGAACAAGGACAAGCUGGGGACCACCCUGCCCUGAACCCCCAGAUGCUGGGGAAACGCAGCGAGGUGACAACUCACGCCCUGGGACAGUGACAGCUGGAAAGAAUGUCAUUGCACCCCUGAAAUAAUGGCCCAAACUUCCGAGUCUUCCUGGGCCCCCAGAAGGCAGUGGUCAUGGGGCAACCAGCAGCCUGGGAUCUAGAAGAGACAGGUGUCCCUGGGGGACGGGGCACCAGGCACGGCCCACACCAUGGGGGGAGCUCGGAUGGAGAGACUGUGAGCAUGAGGGCGCAGAGCCAUGGCCGGCCCAGGGCUCCCAGUUGGGGACAGGACAGCAGCCCCCGGUGGGACACAUGGUGCGGCUGGCCCGUUCAUCUGUGGCAAAGCCCCCGGAGCUCUGCUGAAACCACACACCUCAGGGUGGGACUAAACUUCUAAACUUUUAUUUAAUUCAAAUGUAAAGAGCCACGUGCAACUCAUGCUACAAUAUUGCACAAUGCGGAACGUGUACUUUCACUUUUAAUCGCAUUUCUUUUUGGUCUGAAAACAAUUUCCCCUGAUUCUCGCAAGGUAGCUUCUAGAAUCCUGGGUUGUUAUUUUCUCUAGGUUCACUGAAGACAUUAUCGUGGCAUCUUCUGGCUUCCAUUCACACUGACGAGAAGUCAGCGAUCCACCUGUCCUCCCUUUGUAGAUAAUCUAUGCGUUCGGCUACUUUAAAAUAUCUUCUCUUUUUCCCUGGUUUCUGAGGCUUUAUUAUUACAUAUUUAGAUACAAAUUUGUUUUAACUUAUCCUCUUUUGGAUGUAUUGGGCUCACCGGGUCUUUCAGGUAUCUUUAAUGUAUCUGUGACAUUCUCAGCCAUUACCUCUUGAAAUCGCGUCUCCUUUUUUCCAUCAAUUUCUUCAGAAAACCCUAUUGGAUGUAGGGCUGACCCUCUGUUUCCAUCCUCCACAGUUUUCUGUGUCUGUUUCUCUGGAUUGACAUCUGGUAUAACUUCGUUGGGUCUGUUUUCCAGUUCACCGUUUUUCUCUUCAGCUGCAUCUAAUCUGACAUUUAGAGAUUGAAUUUUAUGGUGAUUUGUUUCCUUCGUUCUUAGGCUUUUUGAUCACCAACUUCUUGUCUGAUUUGGAAGUGUAUUUGGUUGAAAUCCUUUGAGUGCUUGACUUAAUUUCCCCCAAAAAAGAUUUAUGCUUCUAUCGCCUGGGAAAUGCCACCAACAUGGGACCAUUUUUGUGAACAAUCAACUUGGAAUUUGGAGCAGAGUUAGCAUGAGGUUAGAGCAUCAACGUCACAGAGGUCUGACUCGACUUACGAUUUCUCAGGGAAGUACUUCUCCCUCCUCAGUGUCAGGGCUGAGGUGGGAGCAUUUCUGGUGUGCUUCCUUCCGCGUGUGGGUUUUUAUUCAUCCUGUGAAGUCCUGGCUUCACAGAGGGUUCUCGUCUGCAUAUCCCGCCCUGGGAAGACCCUGAGCCUUCAGCCCUCGUCCCCGCCUGCCUGGUGCUCUGAGGUGCUGCAGACCUGCGGGUCACUUCAGAACCCCCAGGGGAGAGGCUGGUCUUGACCCAGCUUGCCUGCUGGGGUUCCUGAUUUCCCCCCAUUUGGUGUCUUGCAAUUCCUUUGUUUUCUUGAAAGAUGUGUGAUGUGUAAGUUUUCCUUUAAUUUGUCCACCUAAUUAUCUUCUCCAGAAGGGUUCUUAAGAGCAUCAGAUCUGCCACACAUGAGAAACAGAAGUCCCCACGGCUGCUCUUGGCUCCUGUGGCCCUUUGCUAUGGAUCUGUCUUGGCCAGUGUUUCCUGAAAAAUGGGCUGAAGCAAGGAUGCGCUAACUGGGAAGCUCGUUUGUGGGAGACACGGGUGAAGAAGGAGAAUGAGAAAGAAAGCGAUCUUCGGAGGAAGGAACCGGGGCGUAAGGCAUGACGUCUGUCCUGAAGUUUCCCUGGCCCGUUUAGUGCCCGCAUGGCAAUGGGGGCACGGGGGGGGGGGGGGGGCGGGGACAAGGGCUCCCCGCAUUACCGGGCAUGACUGGGGUACUGAGGGCCAGCGAGGCCCUCCUUAGGCGGAGGGGGCUGGCCUGCCCGCCCCACCUUCCUGCCUGGCCUUGGACAGGGCUCCACCCACACAUGGGGCUGGGCCCCUGGAUCCCGCUGUGCCUGAAGGCGGCCUCUCCCGGCCUGAGUGCUGGAGUCGUGCCCGUUGAGCAGCUUGGUGGGGGCUCUGUUCUCCGGACUGACCGCGGCUCUGAGGUGGGCUGCUCCCAAACUCCUCAGAGCCGGGUCGUUGAAGACGGCUGCGCACAGCCACCCGCGGCCCCCAGCUCAGCGGCCGUCCGGCCUCCCCUGGGACUCCCCUGUAGUGGAGGCCCGGUCCCGGGGGAGCAGCCCAGCCCCCGCCCUGUCACCCAAACCAGUCUGUUCUGGGAGGGCCUCUGGUCAGACUCUCGGAUGGGCGUCCCCAGCCCAGAGGAGGCGCCUCACUUUCCUGAAAUCGGCCCCGAAAACAUCAGCAGUGUGGACGGCAGGGGGCCGGCGGCCAGAGAGAUGCACACGAGCAAUAAGGGGAGAACUUCCGAGAGUCAGUCUUGAAAUCACACCCUUGAAUUUCCCAUCAUUUGGGGGUGCCCGGGUGGCUACAAGGCUGACUCGUGACUUUGACUCAGGUCAUGGUCUCACGGUUUGUGGGAUGAGCUCCGGGCGGGGCUCUGUGCUGACGGCACGGAGCCUGCUUGGGAUUCUCUCUCCCUCUCUCUGCCCCGCCCCCCGCUUGUUCUCUCUCUCAUAAAUAGACAAACAUUAAAAAGAAUCCCCCAUCA